UUUAAACAAACAUAUAUCUUUAUCGGAAUAUAUCCUGCUAUAAAUUUUGCGUGUACCUACACAUUUGUGUACUAAAAAAAAAGUAGUUCAUCACAGUGACAUGUAUACAUUUUUUAUUUGCUACUACUCUCUAGCCUAGACUAGGUCGAUAUGAUAUGAAUAGUUCAGUUAAAUCAAGAAUUUAGCCAUAUGUCAACAGGCCA
rnacentral:lncRNA from 1 species